CUUUUUCUUUUUUUUUUUUCUUUUGUUUGGGGGGGGGGAGGGGGGGAGCCGGCGUGUACGCCGUAUGGGGUGACGGAAUGGUGGAAGGUAACAUAGACAAUAUAUUGAAACAGACAGACAACAGCCACAAUGUUUUGAUAGAGGUUAUUGGGAUACUCUUCCUCUUGCCAUCACUAAUAAAACCUACUUCACCUCUUUUUGUCUUGGGGUUUGUAACUGUCUAGCAUCCACACGUUUCAAAAAAAAACAUUCUCUGUGAAAAUCCUACAAAAUUCAUUCAUGCUCGUUCUGUAGUAACGAGUUUCUAAAUGUCUCUGGCCUAUUGGUACCUUCAGCUGGUAGGGUCUAAAAUAUUUGCCAUUUCCCUUGAAAGAAAGGUACUAGAGAAAAGUGAAGGAGAAUUAAAUAGCAACAGCUUUUCAAAUGUUC
rnacentral:misc_RNA from 1 species